AGCAGCCGCGGUAAUUCCAGCUCCAAUAGCGUAUAUUAAAGUUGUUGCAGUUAAAAAGCUCGUAGUUGAAUUUCGGGAUCAAUACGUCGGUCGUGCUUAGGUACGUACUGGCGUAAUUGAUUUCUCCCUUCUGACGAACCAUGAUGUCAUUAACUUGGUGUCAUGGGAAAUCAGGACUGUUACUUUGAAAAAAUUAGAGUGUUUAAAGCAGGCUCACGCUUGAAUACAUUAGCAUGGAAUAAUGAAAUAGGACGUUCGAUCCUAUUUUGUUGGUUUUAGGAUCAACGUAAUGAUUAAUAGGGAUAGUUGGGGGCAUUAGUAUUCAAUUGUCAGAGGUGAAAUUCUUGGAUUUAUUGAAGACUAACUACUGCGAAAGCAUUUGCCAAGGAUGUUUUCAUUAAUCAAGAACGAAAGUUAGGGGGAUCGAAGACGAUCAGAUACCGUCGUAGUCUUAACCAUAAACUAUGCCGACUAGGGAUCGGAUGAUGUUAAUUUUUAAUGACUCAUUCGGCGCCCUUAA
rnacentral:rRNA from 1 species